rnacentral:rRNA from 1 species
CCUACGAGUGGCUGCAGUCGGGAAUAUUGCGCAAUGGAGGAAACUCUGACGCAGUGACGCCGCGUGCAGGAAGAAGGUUUUCGGAUUGUAAACUGCUUUAGACAGGGAAGAAAAAAGACAGUACCUGUAGAAUAAGCUCCGGCUAACUACGGGCCAGCAGCCGCGGUAAUACGUAGGGAGCAAGCGUUAUCCGGAUUUAUUGGGUGUAAAGGGUGCGUAGACGGCGAAGCAAGUUAGUUGUGAAAGCCCUCGGCUUAACUGAGGAACUGCAAACAAAACUACUUCCCUUGAGUACUGGAGAGGAAAGUAGAAUUCCAGGUGGAGCGGUGAAAUGCGUAGAGAUUAGGAGGAAUACCAGUGGCGAAGGCGACUUUCUGGACAGUAACUGACGUUGAGGCACGAAAGUGUGGGGAGCAAACAGGAUUAGAUACCCCUGUAGUC